UACGGAGGGUGCGAGCGUUGUCCGGAAUCAUUGGGCGUAAAGGGCGCGUAGGUGGCCACUUCAAGCGUGCGGUGAAAGUCGGGGGCUCAACCCCUGAUCGGCCGUGCGAACUGGGGGGCUGGAGCACUGUAGAGGCAGGCGGAAUUCCGGGUGUGAGCGGUGGAAUGCGUAGAGAUCCGGAAGAACACCGGUGGCGAAGGCGGCCUGCUGGGCAGUUUUGCUGACACUGAGGCGCGACAGCGUGGGGAGCAAACAGG
rnacentral:rRNA from 1 species